GGUCAAGAGGCGCCUGGGAA
rnacentral:piRNA from 1 species